GGGAAGGUAGCUCAGUGGUAGAGCACUUGCCUUGCAUGCAUGAGGUCCUGGGUUCGAUUCCUCAGCACCA
rfam:Dipodomys ordii contig_33393, whole genome shotgun sequence.